UUUAAAACAAGAGUAUUAAGCAUCAGUCCCUGAGGGAAGAAAAAGAAGGCUGCUGAUCCAGGAGAGACAGGAAGAGAACUGACUUUCUCUCCACCAAGAGCUUUUUCCUUCUGGUGGAUUCUAUGCUUUUUCUGGAGAUCUUAGGGGUCUGGGGUAUAGCAGGUAGGAAGGAAUCUAAAGGAUCACUGAGAAAGCCCUCCACCUGGUAUCUCCUUUGGCCACCAUUCUGACCAGCUCACCAGCUCACUUGUGACCAAGAGCUGAAGACUUGUUUCUUUCAACAGACAAGCUCUGUUCAGGGCUCAAUAUGUAGCUCCAAGGCUAAGCAUUGACUAUGCUGCCAGCUUCCAACACUGGAUUUGCCUGGAAGAAAUGGGAAAAAUUGGCCUUGGAGUCAGCAGGACCUGUGUUCAAACUCUUCAGGCACUACCAGCUCUGAGACCCUGGGCAAGUCAUUCAGCCGCGAUUGCCUCAAAAAAAUAAUGGGAUAAAAAUCAUAGUUACCUUCACUACACACCUUCACAAAAGAAAUAAAGUAGAGAAGUUGUCUAGCCCACCCAUUUCUUGGCCAUCAUGUACUGAGGCUGGGACCUCUCCAGAGGGAAACAGGGCAUUUUCCCCAGGGUCCUUGGGCAACAGCCAAUGUUUGAACUUUUCUUGGAUAAUGGAGAGAAGAGGAUUGGAGGAAGCAAAAGUAGCCUGAGUGGCUGCCAAAUCCAAAGAGGGUCCUGGUUGCUUAUGCAUCUGCAAAGCCUGUUCAUAAAAGCUGUUUCCCAUAGUCCUGGCUAUAUUCACCUCCAUCUGUAAUCAGGCUGUUACAGUUGUGAAAGAAGAAAUAGAACAAAAAGAAAA